GAAGAAAAGAAGAGCCAAGAGGAUAGGUUGUUCAGUUUACUACUGGAGACCUGACUGUGACAGACCACCAAGAAAACAAAAUUUUCAAAGAGAGCGGAGAAGACCUUCUGCAGCAUCUGCGAGUCUCGUUUUUUCUUCAGAGUUACGUAGGAUAACUUGGCCAGAACUUAUUGAUGACUGCAUGUUCAGUGGCCUCGGGAAUGGACUGGGAGAUGCAGGAAGGCAUUCUUUGGAUGGAACAGAAGAGGAGGCAUUUCAAAGAUCCUGCAGGUGACUGAGGUGGCACUGGUUUGAACGUGAGGUUGGACUGGAUGACUUCUAGAGGUUUCCAACCUCACCCUGUAAUUGUCAACACUCGUGCUGUUAUUUUGGAUUCUUCCUGACUCCAAAUUACCUGGGAGAGGAAAAAAAAAAAAAAAAAAAAAACAAAACAUGACUAUUUUAAGACAGUUUUCUUUCCCCUCAAAGUUAUUAUUUUAAUUCAUUAGAAAAUGGACCGGAGAGAAUAAAAACCAGGUACUCCCAA